CAAUGAAAAAUUUUAAAUAGCUGCAAUUUUUGUACUAAGGUAGCAUAAUCAUUUGUUUUUUAAUUUUAAACUAGAAUGAAAGGUAAAACAAAUUAUUUCUUUAUUUUUUAUUUUAUUCCAAUUUAUAUUAAAUAUAAAAAUAUAUUUUUAAAAAAAAAAGACGACAAGACCCUAUUGAACUUUACUUUAGUUAAGCUGGGGAAGCUUAAUAAUAAACAUUUUAUUAAAAAUUUUAUAAAUGACCCAAAACAUUUGAUUAAUUAAUCAAGUUACCAUAGGGAUAACAGCGCAAUAAACUUUUAAAGUUCUUAUCUAAAAAUUUGUUUACGACCUCGAUGUUGAAUUAGAAACCUUUAUUAAGCAAAAAUAAUAAAAGUAGGUCU
rnacentral:rRNA from 1 species